GACGAACGCUGGCGGCGUGCCUAAUACAUGCAAGUAGAACGCUGAAGGAGGAGCUUGCUCUUCUGGAUGAGUUGCGAACGGGUGAGUAACGCGUAGGUAACCUGCCUGGUAGCGGGGGAUAACCAUUGGAAACGAUAGCUAAUACCGCAUAAUAGUAGAUGUUGCAUGACAUUUACUUGAAAGGUGCAAUUGCAUCACUACCAGAUGGACCUGCGUUGUAUUAGCUAGUUGGUGGGGUAACGGCUCACCAAGGCGACGAUACAUAGCCGACCUGAGAGGGUGAUCGGCCACACUGGGACUGAGACACGGCCCAGACUCCUACGGGAGGCAGCAGUAGGGAAUCUUCGGCAAUGGACGGAAGUCUGACCGAGCAACGCCGCGUGAGUGAAGAAGGUUUUCGGAUUGUAAAGCUCUGUUGUAAGAGAAGAACGAGUGUGAGAGUGGAAAGUUC
rnacentral:rRNA from 1 species